CGGCCGCAGCCGAGGCGGUGGGACGCCUGGCUACGUCCCUGUGGCUGCGGCUCCGUGGCUGGGAGGCGGUGCUGGCGGCUGCACAGCGACUGCUGGUAUGGGAGAAGCCGCUGCACAGCCUGGUCACGGCGGCCACACUCAACGGCCUCUUCUGGUUGUUGUCUUCGUCGUCCCUUCGGCCCUUCUUCCUGCUCAGCAUAUCACUUCUGACCUAUUUUCUCCUGGAUCUCUGGCAUCCUCGCUUUCUCCCUGACGUUUCAGCACCACCCCCUGAAGAACCGCACUCCGACAGAUUCACCUGCAAGAGCUGUUGCAGUACAAGAGGCAGAAUCCAGCUCAGUUCUGUGCUCGAGUCUGUUCUGGCUGUGCUGUGCUAGCUGUGUUGGGACACUAUGUUCCAGGAAUUAUGAUUUCCUACAUUGUCUUGCUAAGUAUCCUGCUGUGGCCCCUGGUGGUUUAUCAUGAAUUGAUCCAGAGGAUGUAUACUCGCCUGGAGCCCUUGCUCAUGCAGCUGGACUACAGU
rnacentral:lncRNA from 1 species